GUGAGUCAUUGCAGUAAUGCAAGGCAGACGGCUCAGUAACACGUAGUCAACCUACCCUAUAGACGGGGAUAACCUCAGGAAACUGAGGAUAAACCCCGAUAGAUCAUUAUGCCUGGAACGGUUUAUGGUCCAAAUGAUUCGUCGCUAUAGGAUGGGACUGCGGCCUAUCAGCUUGUUGGUGAGGUAAUGGCCCACCAAGACUAUUACAGGUACGGGCUCUGAGAGGAGUAGCCCGGAGAUGGGUACUGAGACACGGACCCAGGCCCUAUGGGGCGCAGCAGGCGAGAAAACUUUGCAAUGUGCGAAAGCACGACAAGGUUAAUCCGAGUGAUUCCUGCUAAAGGAAUCUUUUGUUAGUCAUAAUACCACUAACGAAUAAGGGGUGGGCAAGUUCUGGUGUCAGCCGCCGCGGUAAAACCAGCACCUCAAGUGGUCAGGAUGAUUAUUGGGCCUAAAGCAUCCGUAGCCGGCUUUGUUAGUUUUCGGUUAAAUCCAUAUGCUCAACAUAUGGGCUGCCGGGAAUACUGCAAAGCUAGGGAGUGGGAGAGGUAGACGGUACUCCGUAGGAAGGGGUAAAAUCCUUUGAUCUAUGGAUGACCACCUGUGGCGAAGGCGGUCUACCAGAACACGUCCGACGGUGAGGGAUGAAAGCUGGGGGAGCAAACCGGAUUAGAUACCCGGGUAGUCCCAGCUGUAAACUAUGCAAACUCAGUGAUGCAUUGGCUUGUGGCCAGUGCAGUGCCGCAGG
rnacentral:rRNA from 1 species